rnacentral:rRNA from 1 species
CAGCAGCCGCGGGAAUACGGAGGGUGCAAGCGUUAAUCGGAAUUACUGGGCGUAAAGCGCACGCAGGCGGUUUGUUAAGUCAGAUGUGAAAUCCCCGAGCUUAACUUGGGAACUGCAUUUGAAACUGGCAAGCUAGAGUCUUGUAGAGGGGGGUAGAAUUCCAGGUGUAGCGGUGAAAUGCGUAGAGAUCUGGAGGAAUACCGGUAGCAAAGGCGGCCCCCUGGACAAAGACUGACGCUCAGGUGCGAGAGCGUGGGGAGCAAACAGGAUUAGAUACCCCAGUAGUCCCUGUCUCUUAUAC